AGCAUUAUUCACCAGACGCUUCAGAGGAUGCCAUAAAUGCAAUUGUUUUGAAUUAGGCCUCUUUUAAAGCCACGUCAGUCACUCACUAACAGUUCCAGCACGAGACUUUCUGCAUUAUGUUUAAUAGGGGAAUAACUGUCCACAUUGUCAGAAGCCCGAACAAAUUAACUGCAGAUAACUAGUUCUAAUGCAGAUAUGCAAUGGUCACCUCUCCACAUCAACACUGACACUUUCAACUGGCUAAAGAUAUUUGUUUCUGUGUGAUUUGAUAUAUAGAUGCUGCCAAACCAAGGCAUUGCUUGGAAAGAAAUUAUUUCUUAUGUGUUGCCUUUUUUGUCCUAGACUGGAAGUGACUGAAAGACAACACAGAUGCAUUCUUUCAGCAAGCACUUGUCCUGGAGGUUUUGUAGACAGAACUGGAAGUGACUGAAAGAAAACGGAGACUCAUUCUUUCAGCAAGGUGACCAAAAUCUGUUUCGCUCUGCAGCACUUGUCCCGGAGGCUUUGUAGACAGAGUGACUGAACGAAAACCUAAAUGAGAAAUAGGAACAACAUGUUUAGAAGAUGAAGUGUGGAAGCCUCGGCAGCUUCAGUAUGCUGUGUACCUCAUCUUGAACUCUUUCACAUGGUGAUUCCUACACAUAAUUGCACACUGUAUGUGUUUAGCUAUCCUAUCUUACAAAGACUUAUGCCAACACUGUAUCUGCCUUUCCUCAAUACAAUAUAAAAAGUGCUGCAUAGACCAUUUAGAGAAGCAAUGUCUCGUGACUUUUACUGUAUGUUUAUUUUUGAGCAAGUGUCAUUUGUUUUGUAAAAUAUCUUUGCAGAUUUUCUUUUCAUGCCUGGACACUUUUUUUAUUUCAAAUAUUGCUUUGAAUUGAUGCAAAUUGAAGAACGUGAAUCCCUGGUAAUAAAGGAAGGUUGACCAGAAAAUCAUUUCUCUCUCCAUUGAUUCAUUAUGCUUUGAUGUGUUUUCGUAUAAUGUCAUUGAAUUAUCACAUAUGUUAACAUGUAUACAAUAAUGUAUACAAAUUAUUUAAAACAUUAAUAGUGAUCAGAUUGGUUCUAUUUGAGCAAUGGUCAGCAGUGAGUAUUUAAAAUGGUCAAAUGUGUUGCAUAUUGUUAAAGUGAUAUGUAACCAUUUCUGGAAAUAGGCAGAUUUUUACACAUCCCCUUGAGUAAUUGAGCCUUACUUUUCUCCUGUUCUUUCAGCCAUUUCCUGAGUUUGGCAAUGCAACUUCUACCUCCAAGCAGGCAAUUAUCAUUGACCAGUGGCAUUCACUAGCCGCUGGCUGGUCCCAUAAGAUUCAAUGAUAGUUGCUUGCUUGGAACUCGACGAUUGCCAAUCAAAGGAAACAACUGAAAGAAUUGGAGAAAAGUAAAAGGCAAUUCCCAAAUAACCCAGUUUCCACCCAUGUUUAACCCAGUAUUAAACCAGUUACUGAGUAACUAUUGCACAGCACACAUACUGGGUUAUUUUUACCCAUUGGAUUGGGUUAGUAUUUUAACCCAGUGAAAUGGGUUAACUCAGCAACCCAGUGCAGGGUAUUUCUGACCCUAUGGCUGGGUUAAU